rnacentral:rRNA from 1 species
GACAGAGGCCUCGAGCGUUAGGCGGAAUCACUGGGCUUAAAGCGUGUGUAGGCGGAGGCGUAAGUACCUUGUGAAAUCCCACGGCUCAACUGUGGAACUGCUGGGUAUACUGCGUCUCUUGAGUCACUCAGGGGCGAGCGGAACAGAUGGUGGAGCGGUGAAAUGCGUAGAUAUCGAGAGGAACACCUGAGGUGAAGACGGGUUGCUGGGCCGACACUGACGCUGACAGCGCGAAAGCCAGGGGAGCAAACGGG